AUUGAACGCUGGCGGCAGGCCUAACACAUGCAAGUCGGGCGAGCGGCGGACGCGUGAGUAAUGUAUGGGUACUGCCUGAUGGUGGGGGAUAACUACCUGAAACGGUAGCUAAUACCGCAUACCAUCAGAUAACCCAUAUGGGAUUAGCUUGUAGGUGAGGUAACGGCUCACCUAGGCGACAAUCCCUAGCUGGUCUGAGAGGAUGAUCAGCCACCCUGUGACGGAACCGCGGCCCGGACCACACCGGAGGCAGCAGUGGGGAGAAGUGCAGUGUGGGCGGAAGCCUAGUGUAAACCAGCCACGUGUAUUAAGAGGUCCAUGGGGUUGUGAAGUACAAUCAGUCGGAUAGAGUUACCAAAAGAAGAAGCACCGGCUAACUCCGUGCCAGCAGCCGCGGUAAUAC
rnacentral:rRNA from 1 species